GAUGAACGCUGGCGGCGUGCCUAAUACAUGCAAGUCGAGCGAACGGACGAGAAGCUUGCUUCUCUGAUGUUAGCGGCGGACGGGUGAGUAACACGUGGAUAACCUACCUAUAAGACUGGGAUAACUUCGGGAAACCGGAGCUAAUACCGGAUAAUAUUUUGAACCGCAUGGUUCAAAAGUGAAAGACGGUCUUGCUGUCACUUAUAGAUGGAUCCGCGCUGCAUUAGCUAGUUGGUAAGGUAACGGCUUACCAAGGCAACGAUGCAUAGCCGACCUGAGAGGGUGAUCGGCCACACUAGAACUGAAACCCCGUCCAGACUCCUACGGGGGGCAGGAGUUGGGGAUCUUCCGGAAUUGGCGAAAGCCUGACGGAGCAACGCCGCGUGAGUGAUGAAGGUCUUCGGAUCGUAAAACUCUGUUAUUAGGGAAGAACAUAUGUGUAAGUAACUGUGCACAUCUUGACGGUACCUAAUCAGAAAGCCACGGCUAACUACGUG
rnacentral:rRNA from 1 species